UCACUUACCUGGUUGGAGUGUGUCUUUGAUCAAGAAGGAAGACCGCUUAGGGUGGAGCAGGUCAUUCGCACUUUGAUGCUGUAAAGCCCUACAGCUUCCCGUUCGGGACAGCUGACUGCUAAAUUUCUGGCAGUGGGGACGUGCGCUUGUCGCCUCCCCG
rnacentral:snRNA from 1 species